UAUUAACCAAUGACAGAAAAGCAUGAUACCCCCUCCACACCCCCCCGCCAACACACACUCCCCGUCCUUUUCCCUCCCCCCGGCUGUCUCCAUCCUUCCCGCUUCCCGGAUUAAGAGUGCCCGGCCCCGGACGGAGACUUUACGGCGCAUACAAACACCUAGAGCCGCUAAAAUCGCCAAAACCCGCAGGUUAAACCUUUACAGGGAGAUGAAGUAAAGGAGCAAACAGUGUGCAGUUAAACUUAAGGUCACUCACUCCACACUGGAAACCAUCUGACUGGUUGCAUCACAUCAGGUAUGGAGAUCCCAGAGCACUGGACUGCAAGAAGAAUGCAGAAGUUGUAGACUCAGCCAGCUCCAUCAUGAUCACAAGCCUCUCCAUCCUCAAAAGACAUCUUCAAAAGGCGGUGCCUCAAGAAGACAGCAUCCUUCAGGAAGAAACCUACCCACCCAGGACAUGCCCUCUUCUCAUUGCUACCCUCAGGGAGGAGCCUGAAGACACACACUCAACAUUUUAGGAACAGCUUCUUCCCCUCCACUAUCUGAUUCCUGAAUGGACAAUGAACCCAUGAACAUUACCUCACUAUUUGCUCUCUUUUUGCAUUACUUACUUAUCUUUUAUAUCUCUUCUUGUAAAUGAUAGUAACCUUUUAUUUAUUGCACUGUACUGCUGCCACAAAACAACAAAUUUCUUGACAAAACUGACUGUUAAUAAAUCUGACUCUGAUUCUGA